CAUUAACACUAAUCCAUAUCACCUUAACCUAGCCUUCAGUGCAGUAUCAGUGCUAGCUUCGCAGCAGGCCUCUUACUGUUCUAUAAACCUAAACUAAAGAAGCUUAACUAAGCUCAACCACUAAAACCAAAUUCUCAACGAUGGAUAUCUUGGUUCCCAUAACGAUGAAGAACGCAGCGAAGUGCGAUAAGCAAUGCGAAUUGCAGAACCGUGAGUCAUCAGAUCUUUGAACGCAACUGGCGCUGGAUGGCUAUCCAUCCAGCAUGCUUGUUUCAGUGUCUUAUUCUCUCAUAACCUAAAUCUUAAUGCUAGAGAUACCCUUCUCUUGCUAAGUACGAAAGCACUCUGAGCCCUGCAGGUGAUUUGACUUCGGUCAAGGUCACACUCAAUGCAGCAGU
rnacentral:misc_RNA from 1 species